rnacentral:rRNA from 1 species
CCUGGUUGAUUCUGCAGUAGUCAUAUGCUUGUCUCAAAGAUUAAGCCAUGCAUGUCUAAGUAUAAGCAACUAUACUGUGAAACUGCGAAUGGCUCAUUAAAUCAGUUAUCGUUUAUUUGAUAGUACCUUACUACUUGGAUAACCGUGGUAAUUCUAGAGCUAAUACAUGCGAAAAACCCCGACUUCGGAAGGGUGUAUUUAUUAGAUAAAAAACCAAUGCCCUUCGGGCUUCCUGGUGAUUCAUAAUAACUUAACGAAUCGCAUGCCUUGCGCCGGCGAUGUUCAUUCAAAUUCUGCCCUAUCAACUUUCGAUUGUAGAGUAGUGUCUACAAUGGUUUCAACGGGUAACGGGAAUUAGGGUUCGACUCCGGAGAGGAGCCUGAGAAACGGCUACCACAUCCAAGGAAGGCAGCAGGCGCGCAAUUACCCAAUCCCGACACGGGGAGGUAGUGACAAUAAAUACUGAUACAGGGCUCUUUUGGGUCUUGUAAUUGGAAUGAGUACAAUUUAAAUCCCUUAACGAGGAACAACUGGAGGGCAAGUCUGGUGCCAGCAGCCGCGGUAAUUCCAGCUCCAGAAGCGUAUAUUAAAGUUGUUGCAGUUAAAAAGCUCGUAGUUGAAUUUUGGGCCUGGCUGGCCGGUCCGCCUCACCGCGUGCACUGGUCCGGCCGGCCUUCCUCCUGGGGAUCCGCAUGCCCUUCACUGGGUGUGUUGGGAACCAGGACUUUUACUUUGAAAAAUUAGAGUGUUCAAAGCAGGCCUUUGCUCGAAUACAUUAGCAUGGAAUAAUAGAAUAGGACGGCUUUCCUAUUUUGUUGGUUUCUAGGGAAGCCGUAAUGAUUAAUAGGGAUAGUCGGGGGCAUCAGUAUUCAAUUGUCAGAGGUGAAAUUCUUGGAUUUAUUGAAGACUAACUACUGCGAAAGCAUUUGCCAAGGAUGUUUUCAUUAAUCAGUGAACGAAAGUUAGGGGAUCGAAGACGAUCAGAUACCGUCGUAGUCUUAACCAUAAACUAUGCCGACUAGGGAUCGGGCGAUGUUACUAUCUUGACUCGCUCGGCACCUUACGAGAAAUCAAAGUUUUUGGGUUCUGGGGGGAGUAUGGUCGCAAGGCUGAAACUUAAAGAAAUUGACGGAAGGGCACCACCAGGAGUUAACUUGCUUGCCGCGAGCUCUGCGCCUGAUAGCACGACCCAAUGGGUAGUGGUGUCCCUUGAAACGAUGCUAGUCCCCUCCUAGGAGGGGGCAACACGCUUAAACUGCGGGACCUCCAAGCCUCACCGUCCAAGCCUACGCUAACCGUGCGGGUGGCCGAGCCCAACAGCUCGGGUAGGGGAAAAACCGGGAGAGUGGACGAUCCGCAUCCAAGCCCCCAGA